rnacentral:rRNA from 1 species
AACGAACGGUGGCGGCGUGGAUAAGACAUGCAAGUCGAACGGGACUUUCACUGUAGCAAUAUGAUGGAAGUUCAGUGGCGUAAGGGUGCGUAACAUGUGGGAAAUCUGCCGAGAAGUGGGGGAUAGCUCGCCGAAAGGCGAAUUAAUACCGCAUGUGGUCAGUGAAGACAUCUUCGCGAAACCAAAGCCGGGGCAACCUGGCGCUUCUUGAUGAUCCCGCGGCCUAUCAGCUAGUUGGUGAGGUAACGGCUCACCAAGGCUAUGACGGGUAGCUGGUCUGAGAGGACGACCAGCCACACUGGAACUGAGACACGGUCCAGACACCUACGGGUGGCAGCAGUCGAGAAUUUUUCUCAAUGGGCGCAAGCCUGAAGGAGCGACGCCGCGUGGAGGAUGAAGGUCUUCGGAUUGUAAACUCCUGUCAUUAGGGAACAAAUCUUCCAAGUAACUACUGGAAGGCUGAUAGUACCUGAAGAGGAAGGGACGGCUAACUCUGUGCCAGCCGCCGCGGUAACAC